UCAACGGAUAUGGUUAACAAAUCGACAAUGUGCGUCGGGGCGCCUGCUACACCAGCACUUUGCGGCGAGAAAGCGGCACAUUCGCCUCAUUCCCUGCCAUAACUGUGGACGCGCGAUCACGAAGAAUUUCGGGCCGUAUUGGCCCGAAAUCUUUGA
rnacentral:sRNA from 1 species